AAUCAACGCUGGCGGCGUGCCUCAGACAUGCAAGUCGAACGAGAAAGUUCCCUUCGGGGAGCGAGUAAAGUGGCGCACGGGUGAGUAACACGUAGGUAAUCUACCUUCGGGUGGGGAAUAACCCAGGGAAACUUGGGCUAACACCGCAUAAUGCAGCGGCACCACAUGGUGACAGUUGUUAAAGCGGGGGAUUUUAGGACCUCGCGCCUGAAGAGGAGCCUGCGGCGGAUUAGCUUGUUGGUAAGGUAACGGCUUACCAAGGCGACGAUCUGUAGCCGGCCUGAGAGGGCGGUCGGCCACACUGACACUGACAUACGGGUCAGACUCCUACGGGAGGCAGCAGUCGGGAAUUUUGACAAUGGGCGAAAGCCUGACCCAGCAACGCCGCGUGAAGGAUGAAAUCCCUCGGGAUGUAAACUUCGCAAGAAUGGGAAGAAUUAGUAGGGGUUAAUACCCCCUAUGAUGACGGUACCAUUUGUAAGCUCCGGCUAACUCCGUGCCAGCAGCCGCCGU
rnacentral:rRNA from 1 species